GAUCCUGGCUCAGAUUGAACGCUGGCGGCAUGCCUUACACAUGCAAGUCGAACGGUAACAGGUCUUCGGAUGCUGACGAGUGGCGAACGGGUGAGUAAUACAUCGGAACGUGCCCCGAUCGUGGGGGGAUAACGAGGCGAAAGCUUUGCUAAUACCGCAUACGAUCUACGGAUGAAAGCGGGGGAUCUUCGGACCUCGCGCGAACGGAGCGGCCGAUGGCAGAUUAGGUAGUUGGUGGGAUAAAAG
rnacentral:rRNA from 1 species